GGGGUUGUGGCUCAGUGGUAGAGCGCUCACCUAGCAUGUGGGAGGAACUGGGUUCGAUCUUCGGCACCACA
rnacentral:tRNA from 1 species